rnacentral:rRNA from 1 species
AUGAAUUGCCUAAGUUGGAACUGCCAGAGAGGGGAGGACACCCGGACAGUUCGUGAGCUAGCGACGUUGUGUAAGUCGCGUUCCCCCAUGCUGGUGUUUUUGUGUGAAAGAAGACAAAAGGAGGAGAAGAUGAAAAGGAUCCGUGCAAAACUUGGUGUGAAGGGUUUUUGUGGAGUGGAUAGCAAUGGUCUAAGUGGUGGUUUGGCACUAUAU